rnacentral:rRNA from 1 species
GACGAACGCUGGCGGUGCGCCUAAUACAUGCAAGUCGAACGGUGAACGGGGCUUCGGCCCCCGGAUCAGUGGCGAACGGGUGCGUAACACGUGGGCAACCUGCCCCUCACUCUGGGAUAACCCCGGGAAACCGGAGCUAAUACCGGAUACUCUCGGCCGAUCGCAUGGUCAGCCGAGGAAAGGUCCGCCGGUGAGGGAUGGGCCCGCGGCCUAUCAGCUGGUUGGUGGGGUAACGGCCUACCAAGGCUUCGACGGGUAGCUGGUCUGAGAGGACGGCCAGCCACACUGGGACUGAGAUACGGCCCAGACUCCUACGGGAGGCAGCAGUAGGGAAUCUUGCGCAAUGGGCGAAAGCCUGACGCAGCGACACCGCGUGAGGGAUGACGGCCCUCGGGUUGUAAACCUCUUUCGGCAGGGACGAAGCGAUCGUGACGGUACCUGCAGAAGAAGCUCCGGCUAACUACGUGCCAGCCGCCGCCGUAACAC